rnacentral:rRNA from 1 species
GACGAACGCUGGCGGCGUGCUUAACACAUGCAAGUCGAACGAAGUGGCGAACGGGUGAGUAACGCGUAAUCAACCUGCCCUUCAGAGGGGGACAACACUUGGAAACGACUGCUAAUACCGCAUACUGAAGGAGGGGCUUGCGUCUGACUGGCUGGUGGGAGGGGUAACGGCCCACCAAGGCGAUGAUCAGUAGCCGGUCUGAGAGGAUUACCGGCCACAAUGGGACUGGUGCACUGCCCAGGCUCCUACGGGAGGCAGCAGUGGGGAAUGUGCCGCAAUGGACGAAAGUCUGAAGGAGCAACGCCACGUGAGUGAUGGCGGCCUUCGGGUUGUAAAGCUCUGUUAAGCGGGACGCGGUACCGGAAUAGAAAGCCACGGCUAACUACGUGCCAGCAGCCGCGGUAAUUC